CAGAUGAUCUACCCUGAAGAUUUAUUUAUUCUGAAGGAAAGAGAAAUUCCACCGGGAAUAGUUCCUGAACAGAGGCUUUGGAGAGGAUGCACCUACUCACAAAAAUAAGAGGAUAAGAAGCGGAUUUCUGCAAGCAGUGGGAGAGAAAGAAUAGAUUAUUGCACAAGACACAUUACUGCUUUCAUACUUGUAGGACACUUUCAGAGGAUAAUAGAUGAAAAAUUGGGACCUCUGAUAAUGCCGUCAUUUAAAAAACAAUUCAGAGGUAAGCUGGUCUUCAUCCAUGGUUUCCUUGCAUUGAGAGCAGU
rnacentral:lncRNA from 1 species